rnacentral:rRNA from 1 species
AUUGAACGCUGGCGGCAUGCUUUACACAUGCAGGUCGAACGGCAGCGCGGGCUUCGGCCUGGCGGCGAGUGGCGAACGGGUGAGUAAUACAUCGGAACGUGCCCAGUAGUGGGGGAUAGCUCGGCGAAAGCCGGAUUAAUACCGCAUACGACCUGAGGGUGAAAGCGGGGGAUCUUCGGACCUCGCGCUAUUGGAGCGGCCGAUGGCAGAUUAGCUAGUUGGUGGGGUAAAGGCCUACCAAGACGACGAUCUGUAGCUGGUCUGAGAGGACGACCAGCCACACUGGGACUGAGACACGGCCCAGACUCCUACGGGAGGCAGCAGUGGGGAAUUUUGGACAAUGGGCGAAAGCCUGAUCCAGCAAUGCCGCGUGUGUGAUGAAGGCCUUCGGGUUGUAAAGCACUUUUGGCGGGAACGAAAAGGACUGUGCCAAUACCACGGUUCGAUGACGGUACCCGCAGAAUAAGCACCGGCUAACUACGUG